UAACGGCUGAACCAGCAACUUGGAGGAAUGUAUAGCAACAGCUAUUUGCGUGGUAAUACUAUGCAAAAUCAACUAUGUUGAAUAAAGUUCUGGUUAGAUUAUGAUUAUGACAUUUUCUAACUAUGUGUCUUGACCAAAUUACGUGCCAGCAGUCGCGGUAAUACGUAGAAGACUAGUGUUAUUCAUCUUUAAUAGGUUUAAAGGGUACUUAGACGGCAGAUGAAGCCAUAGUAGGGACUGAUCUGCUAGAGUUUCUUAUAAGGGGGCUAUAAAGUACUAAUGGUGUAGAGAUAAAAUUUUUUGAUACCUUUUUUGUAAACAAAAGUUAUGGCACUGGUAAAGGCGAAGGCAUCCCCCUAUGUGAUAACUGACGUUGAAGGACGAAGGCUUUGGGUCGCGAGAAGGAUUAGAUACCCUAAUAGUCGAAGCAGAAAAUGAUGAGUGUCAUAGAUUAGAUAAUAAAGUUUAUUCUAUAAAUGAAAGUGUAAGCACUCCACCUCAAGAGUAAUAUGGCAACAUAGGAACUGAAAUCAUUAGACCGUUUCUGAAACCAGUAGUGAAGUAUGUUGUUUAAUUUGAUAAUCCGCAAAAAACCUUACCACAACUUGAAUAACCAUGUCUUUGACAUGGCUACAAGCAUUGCACGGCUGUCUUCAGUUAAUGUCGUGAGACUUUGGUUAGAUCCAUUAAAUUAACGCAAGCCCUUACUUUAUUUUUAAAUAAAGUAGUUCCCCACUAUAUCGGAUAUGACAAUAGGGACUAAGACAAGUCAUCAUGGUCUGAAUGUUGUGGGCUAUAGACGUGCCACAUAAGCCUUUACAAAGGGAUGUGAAAUUGUGAAAUUAAACUAAUCUUUAA
rnacentral:rRNA from 1 species